GUUCAUGGCUCAGUGGUUAGAGUGCUGGACUCGCAAUCAAGAGGUUGUGAGUUUGAUUCCCAGACUGGGC
rnacentral:tRNA from 1 species